rnacentral:rRNA from 1 species
CGUAGUCGAUGGGAAACAGGUUAAUAUUCCUGUACUUCUGGUUACUGCGAUGGAGGGACGGAGAAGGCUAGGCCAGCUUGGCGUUGGUUGUCCAAGUUUAAGGUGGUAGGCUGAAAUCUUAGGUAAGUCCGGGGUUUCAAGGCCGAGAGCUGAUGACGAGUCGUCUUUUAGAUGACGAAGUGGUUGAUGCCAUGCUUCCAAGAAAAGCUUCUAAGCUUCAGGUAACCAGGAACCGUACCCCAAACCGACACAGGUGGUCGGGUAGAGAAUACCAAGGCGCUUGAGAGAACUCGGGUGAAGGAACUAGGCAAAAUGGCACCGUAACUUCGGGAGAAGGUGCGCCGGCUAGGGUGAAGGAUUUACUCCGUAAGCUCUGGCUGGUCGAAGAUACCAGGCCGCUGCGACUGUUUAUUAAAAACACAGCACUCUGCAAACACGAAAGUGGACGUAUAGGGUGUGACGCCUGCCCGGUGCCGGAAGGUUAAUUGAUGGGGUUAGCGCAAGCGAAGCUCUUGAUCGAAGCCCCGGUAAACGGCGGCCGUAACUAUAACGGUCCUAAGGUAGCGAAAUUCCUUGUCGGGUAAGUUCCGACCUGCACGAAUGGCGUAACGAUGGCGGCGCUGUCUCCACCCGAGACUCAGUGAAAUUGAAAUCGCUGUGAAGAUGUAGUGUAUCCGCGGCUAGACGGAAAGACCCCGUGAACCUUUACUGUAGCUUUGCACUGGACUUUGAGCCUGCUUGUGUAGGAUAGGUGGGAGGCUUUGAAGCGUGGACGCCAGUUCGCGUGGAGCCAUCCUUGAAAUACCACCCUGGCAUGCUUGAGGUUCUAACUCUGGUCCGUAAUCCGGAUCGAGGACAGUGUAUGGUGGGCAGUUUGACUGGGGCGGUCUCCUCCUAAAGAGUAACGGAGGAGUACGAAGGUGCGCUCAGACCGGUCGGAAAUCGGUCGCAGAGUAUAAAGGCAAAAGCGCGCUUGACUGCGAGACAGACACGUCGAGCAGGUACGAAAGUAGGUCUUAGUGAUCCGGUGGUUCUGUAUGGAAGGGCCAUCGCUCAACGGAUAAAAGGUACUCCGGGGAUAACAGGCUGAUACCGCCCAAGAGUUCAUAUCGACGGCGGUGUUUGGCACCUCGAUGUCGGCUCAUCACAUCCUGGGGCUGAAGCCGGUCCCAAGGGUAUGGCUGUUCGCCAUUUAAAGUGGUACGCGAGCUGGGUUUAGAACGUCGUGAGACAGUUCGGUCCCUAUCUGCCGUGGACGUUUGAGAUUUGAGAGGGGCUGCUCCUAGUACGAGAGGACCGGAGUGGACGAACCUCUGGUGUUCCGGUUGUCACGCCAGUGGCAUUGCCGGGUAGCUAUGUUCGGAAAAGAUAACCGCUGAAAGCAUCUAAGCGGGAAACUUGCCUCAAGAUGAGAUCUCACUGGGAACUUGAUUCCCCUGAAGGGCCGUCGAAGACUACGACGUUGAUAGGCUGGGUGUGUAAGCGUUGUGAGGCGUUGAGCUAACCAGUACUAAUUGCCCGUGAGGCUUGACC